AUAGCGCUGAGAUGCAGCGGGACUUGUCCCGCCCAGCAACCCUAAGGCUGCUUCGUUUUCCUAGUGGAGGGAACAGAAGCGCUGCGGCUGCAUUGGGGGGGAGACCUGUCAAUCUAACGUGGAUUGGUUAAUCCCGCCCCCUCCGCGGACGCCAUUGGUCAGGCUGCCCCGGGGCGGGGCUUUUCCCUGGAUGCUCGGGUGGGCGGCGGGCGAUUGGUGUGAGGCUCCUUCCGCUUCCGGGUGGCGGCCGCACGUGUGGGUGCUGCUGCUCCUGCCCGGGCCUGCGAUAUCCCCGGCAUGGACCGGCCGCGCUUCCCCUCCCGCGCCAGCACCGUCGGCUCCGCUGGGCCGCGGGGAGGGCUGAGCAGCACGGCGGGGAGGCCUUGCUGGGCGGCCGCUGUUGUGCUCAGCCUCUCCCUUCGGGCCUGGGGGCCCUCGAGGACCUCCGGGCUGUGCCGGCGUCGCCGGCCUUCGGGUGGGAUCUGGGGUUUAACCCGCCGGCCCUUCGGUGGUGCAGGCGGUGGUGGAGAUCCCUCGGGCUGGGACUGUGUUUGGGUCAAGGGAAAUCCGGGGAGAAGGGGCUGAUGGAGCGGGGCUGCGCUGGAGUAGCUGCGGUGCUGAAGCGUGCUGGGGUGCCCCGGUGGCAGCGGGGAGCCGCUCCCCCGUUCAGUCGGCAGCUUCUGUACCCGCAGGCGGCGGAGGCUGUUUGUGGACAGCUGGCAAAGCAUGGCUCUGUCUCCUUCCUGGCUUUGGCCGUGUCCGGGACCGAUUUGACUGCGUUCAGUUGCCCGGGUUUGGUUGAUUUUUGAUGGGCUAAAUCAGGAGGUUUGUCCCUGAGAAGGUAGCGGUGCUUUGCAUGUUCCGAUUUGGUGCUGAGAGCGGAGGCCCGAGUAGUUUUGCACAGCUUGUGCUGUCACCCGAGCAACUGGCAGGGGUGGCAGCGGCAUGGAAGAAUGGGAGCAAGACUGGGCUUGGCUGCCUGCGCAAAAGGAUGGUUCAGUCAGUGCCGGAGCAAGGGCAGGGCUGCCGAAUGUCAGCCAGAGAAGUGCUGGAUUUGGAACGUGUCCUGCAGACGGCCGCCUGUGCAGCCAGCUUUGCUUGCUCUCCUGGGCAGAUGCCGUAUUCUUUCCAAGAACUUGGCGCAGAGCGUGGCGGUCUCCGAAAGCAGCAGGGUCCAUCCUAUAAUGGUUUAAAUCAUCUGUUCAGAAGAAAUAUUAAUGGAAUUCCCAUAAGACUCCUGGCAUUUUGCUGAUGUUCCUGUUAGAAGACCUAUCACCUCAUUUUUGAAAACUCAUAAAAGCACCAGUAUUCAAACUGCAAGGAUUAAAUGCUCAGUCAGUCAUAAACUGGGUUUACUUCAGACAUUCUGCUGCAGAACAGAAUUAUGAUUUAUCAGUUUGUGGUUUGUUCUCACAUGGUACACAAGGAGGUGGAAAUCCAAGAAUGAUGCUGUCAGCAAAAAGGUUUUUAAUUCUUUUGAAAAAGGGGAGGGCUAAAUUAGCUAGUGAGAAAGAAAAGUCUCAUUUCAGCUUAUCAGAACAGGACACAUCUUUAUGUUCAAGUCUGAUAUAUGUGUCAUUCUUAAUUGUGAUAGUGGCUGAAAAUGAAGUCCCUUGUUAUGCCCUAACAAUCGAGCACUAUUUAGGUGGGGUUUUUUUGGUUUUUUUUUGUUGGUUAUUGAAGUUUUUAAGUGGGAUAGCUUGAACUCCUGCUGUUUUGCAUGCCUGGUAAAUAAUCUCAGUGUACCAUCACAGUAACAUCUGGCAGCAGCAACAUAUCCUCAGCUUUGAGAGAAGUAUGAAUGACUAAAAUGUACUUACAAUUCUGGGCUUCCUAACUUGUGAGCACUGAAAACACAUCUGUGAAAAGUUUUGGAAAUGUGCUAGUUUUAAAAAGUUGUGCAACAAACAGCAGAAACAAAGCAAUGCUGCGGGUGUUUUACAGGGAAAUAGACAUUUUGGAACCUGAACUGUACCUGUUAGAUCCUGUUUUGGAUCUAACCUGGAGAUCUAUACCUAAGUUUGUUUCUGAGCUGGAUAGGUAAGAAAAUAAUAUCCAUGGAUUUAUGGCAUAUUCCUAAGAGGAUAUUUGUGUUGGCCUUAAAAUACAGUAGUCCAUUUCAUAAAUGAGAGAGGUGAAGAAUAUUUACAAAAUGACCUGUAUCAAUUUAACUAAUGGGGAUAUAAACAUGACCUAAGGUAGUUUUUUGAUUUAAACCAUGUAAAGAUAGCUUUGGCAGAGAGGGAUCAUGGUGAACAUCCGAGGAGAAAUGUCUGAGCCCCACAUUUAACAAACAGAAUGGAAGGUCAUGUUCAGGCUGCUUGAAUGUGGACCUUUAAAUGAGGCACUCUUUAGACUUAAUUUAGUUCUUAAUGACACUGGUAUCACUGUCUGCCUCUUUGUGAGGUUUUUUUCAGCUUUGUGAGUUGUGACACUGUCCCCAAGCAAGGACAAGUACUGUGACCUCUGUAAGAGAGGAGCAGGUUUAUUCUUUGGGAUAAGUAAGCUGCUUGGAACUGUUCUGGCAUAUGAAAAUCUGCUAAAUCCUUGUUUCUGAAUUUGCAGGUGGUAAUGGUACUUGAGUCUUUCAGUAUUACAGAGGAAGAAUAAUUUUAUAUGCAUCUAUUUCUGUGCAGAACUGAGAAAUACUGCCUCUAAUGAGAGCACCUCUGGCCUCUUUUCAUCCGUGAGUUAGGAUUGCUAAAAUCUUUGAUGGGCCGUAGAAAAAGACUGGGCAAGCUCAAGAAAAAAAUUGAUCUCCUUAUUAUAAAUACAUCAUUGUGGUAUCAAGUCCUGAGCUAUAGAAGGCUAUGGAGUGGAGUUAUGGUAUUGUAACCAAAUGCAUGUCCUGUUCUUUGCUUCCUGUGCACUCUCAUGCACAGAAACAGGGUCUUGGUCUCUGGUAUGGUAAUUUGUAGAGCUGUAAUUUACUUAAAGUGCUGGAAGUGUCUCAGCUUGUAGAAAGGCUGGGAAAACCCCAGGUGCUCACUGCCUGUGAGGUUCUUGUGCCUCAGUUAAGGUCUGCCAGCACACUGUCACGGCAGUGCUGCCAGGGGUGCUUUCACUGGCUCUGUUUAUUUGAGAAGCAUGCAGGUGCAGUGAGGUGCUCAAGAGCGUCUGCGAUUAUCGUGUGUGUCAUGACCACGAGGGGGCCCUGGGAGCUUCGGUCCGGGUGAGGCCAGAGUUACACACUGUGCUACAAGGGCAGGGCUGAUUGCUUGGUACCUCUGGUUACAUCCCUUCUUGGUCAGCACUUCUGAAUUACCUUACCUCUCCUGUAUACUUCUGGUUUUAAUUAAAGUAUUUUGGUAUGUAAUUUUGAGAAAUGCAUCUCGUUACAAAAACUCAACUUGGCUUUAAUAAAUAGCACUGGCUAUUUGAUCUUCUCUGUGGCAGAAGACAGAUAGUACCAAGCACAUCAUUCACAUGUGAGUUUCAUCUCUAUGACCUAUUUCCCCAAGUAAAAAUUCAAGAGUUCUGCACACAAUACUGUAUUUGUAAAGUAGAAGGAAUUGGUAUGAAGAAUCUUAAUGAGGGUUUUUUGUAUAUCUUAAGAGCUUUUAAGCUUGGUACUACAAUAUAUUAAUAAAGAUUCUUUCUGUGCACA